UGGGGAAUAUUGCACAAUGGGCGCAAGCCUGAUGCAGCCAUGCCGCGUGUAUGAAGAAGGCCUUCGGGUUGUAAAGUACUUUCAGUCGGGAGGAAGGUGGUAAGGUUAAUAACCUUGGCAAUUGACGUUACCGACAGAAGAAGCACCGGCUAACUCCGUGCCAGCAGCCGCGGUAAUACGGAGGGUGCAAGCGUUAAUCGGAAUUACUGGGCGUAAAGCGCACGCAGGCGGUUGAUUGAGUCAGAUGUGAAAUCCCCGGGCUUAACCCGGGAAUUGCAUCUGAUACUGGUCAGCUAGAGUCUUGUAGAGGGGGGUAGAAUUCCAUGUGUAGCGGUGAAAUGAGUAGAGAUGUGGAGGAAUACCGGUGGCGAAGGCGGCCCCCUGGACAAAGACUGACGCUCAGGUGCGAAAGCGUGGGGAGCAAACAGG
rnacentral:rRNA from 1 species